UGUCUUAUAAUAGAAGCCGGAAAUCCAUUUCCAUUAUCUGAAAAAAGGGCCACACUAGAGCUACCAGGUGAGAAAUUAAUUAAAGGGCAAAAUUCAGAUGAAUAAGAAACACACAUGGCAUAUACCUCUCUAGAGUGUGAUUUUUACGGUCCUUAACGAGCUACCAGGUGCUCCCACAUUUUGAUACCUAUUAUUAACUUAGGUACUUUAAGGUACCAUGUUUUAAACUUGAAAAAUCGGUAUCUGUCGGUACUUCUCAAAGACCAUGAAAUUUCUCUGAUCAUAUAUAUUGUGACCUCAGUGGCACAUUGUGAUAGCAGAAACCUUUCGAUCGGACAGGAUGAUCAAAAUGUGCAUAGCAUCAUUCAUCAACACAUUCGUGCAGUCCACUAGUUAGCCAUUUGUACCAAUGAAUUCUUUACCUACACACGCCAUGCAGAUAGUUUUGUGGGUCAACAAUAAUCACUAAGAAUUUUAAGACUGGGAGGCAUCGGUAAAUUAUAUAUCCAUCUAAGUUUUUGUCAGGUAACACCCCUUCAUGGAUGUAGCAGAUGUAUGCUGCUAACAAGGUGGCCGUGCUGCUAACAUGAAUCUGGCAUAUGGUCGGAGACAGCACAAGAUUAUUUCUGCUGCUCCACUUUCGUUGGGUGCUUCUUGCCACUGAAUCAAACGGUGCAGGAUAACAAAGAAGGGAAGCAAAACACGAAGCAUCCUGGCUGCUCGACAAACUGUAAAUUAACCGGGUACAGCAGGAAAUAAACACAGCAGAGCAGAUGCUGAUGAGCUGACUGCGCUUGAUUUCAAUAUUUGAACCAGGCCUAUGUAAAAAUAGACUAUGUACAGUUUGUUUUGACACGUUAACUGUGAAUACUUAAUAUAGCUCCUAAAAGUAUUUCAUUUGA